GACGAACGCUGGCGGCGUGCUUAACACAUGCAAGUCGAACGGAAAGGCCCUGCUCUUGUGGGGUGCUCGAGUGGCGAACGGGUGAGUAACACGUGAGUAACCUGCCCUUGACUUUGGGAUAACUUCAGGAAACUGGGGCUAAUACCGGAUAGGAGCUCCUGCUGCAUGGUGGGGGUUGGAAAGUUUCGGCGGUUGGGGAUGGACUCGCGGCUUAUCAGCUUGUUGGUGGGGUAGUGGCUUACCAAGGCUUUGACGGGUAGCCGGCCUGAGAGGGUGACCGGCCACAUGGGGAAUGGGAUACGGCCCAGACUCCUACGGGGGGCAGCGGUGGGGAAUUUCGCAAAAUGGGGGGAGGCCGGAAGCAGCAACCCCGGGGGGGGGAGGACGGCCGUCGGGUUGUAAACCCCUUUGCCCGGGGACGAAGCGUGGGGGAGGUAAAUGGGGAAAAAAGCACCGGCUAACUACGG
rnacentral:rRNA from 1 species